AAAACAUGUAUAAGUGGCAUUUAACUCUGUACAAAGGGACUUGGCUCAUAUUCGGACUCCAACGUCAAAGCUUGUAAGGUUUUUAGAGUAAGAAACUGGGAAGAGCAGGGAUUGGGUAUCUAUGGAUGUUUUGAUGUUUACUGUCAUUGCCAAGAACAAGUUGUGUUGAUCAGGACAUCAUGGAGCGUUAGCAAUCCAGGAAGGAGGGCUUUUGUUUUGCAGAAACUAUA
rnacentral:lncRNA from 1 species